rnacentral:rRNA from 1 species
GACGAACGCUGGCGGCGUGCUUAACACAUGCAAGUUGAACGGGGCAUAUAUUUGACAGACUUUUCGGAGUUUAGAAGAUAUAUGUUUAGUAGCGGACGGGUGAGUAAUGCAUGAGAACCUGCCCUUCAGAGGAGGACAACAGCUGGAAACGGUUGCUAAUACCCCACUAAGCCGAGAGGUAAAAGGAAGUAAUCCGCUGAGGGAGGGGCUCAUGUCCUAUCAGCUAGUUGGUAAGGUAACGGCUUACCAAGGCGAAGACGGGUAGCCGGCCUGAGAGGGCGAUCGGCCACACUGGAACUGAGAUACGGUCCAGACUCCUACGGGAGGCAGCAGUGGGGAAUAUUGGGCAAUGGGCGCAAGCCUGACCCAGCGACGCCGCGUGAGGGAAGAAGGCCCUUCGGGUGUAAACCUCUGUUGUAUGGGAAGAAGGACGUGACGGUACCAUACGAGGAAGUCCCGGCUAACUACGUGCCAGCAGCCGCGGUAAAGUCUGUACU